rnacentral:rRNA from 1 species
GAUGAACGCUGGCGGCAUGCCUAAUACAUGCAAGUCGAACGAGAGGAAGGAAAGCUUGCUUUUCUGAAUCUAGUGGCGAACGGGUGAGUAACACGUAGGUAACCUGCCCAUGUGCCCGGGAUAACUUCUGGAAACGGAUGCUAAAACCGGAUAGGUAGCAGACAAGCAUUUGACUGCUAUUAAAGUGGCUAAGGCCAUGAACAUGGAUGGACCUGCGGUGCAUUAGCUAGUUGGUGAGGUAACGGCCCACCAAGGCGACGAUGCAUAGCCGGCAUGAGAGGGCGGACGGCCACGUUGGGAAUGAGACACGGCCCAAACUCCUACGGGAGGCAGCAGUAGGGAAUUUUCGUCAAUGGGGGGAACCCUGAACGAGCAAUGCCGCGUGAGUGAGGAAGGUCUUCGGAUCGUAAAGCUCUGUUGUAAGAGAAAAGCGACAUUCAUAGGGAAUGAUGAGUGAGUGAUGGUAUCUUACCAGAAAGUCACGGCUAACUACGUGCCAGCCGCCGCAGUAAUAC